CCCUCACCCCCACCCUCCGGGCCAGCUCCGGACACGGAAAGGCUGCCCCAGGAUACCGGCUGGUGCCCUCUAAGCUUCCUGGGUUACCACGGCAACGUCGUUGCCUAGUUACCCUGGGAGUUCUUGGGACGCAGCUCCUGGAGGGGAGGAGGCCGAUCAGCAGUCCUCAGAUUUCAGAUGUGUGUCCAGUCCCACUGAUCCCCAGGAAAAACUGGAAAAGAGGAAGUUUCUAAAUGCCUGGAGUGGAAAAAGUCCUAGAAGUCAUGAUUGAGAGCCUGACACCGGGGAACUACCAUCUUCAGACCCUUAGCAAUAAAGAAACAGGGUUGUUGGCUUAGUCAAAUCCAUGCUUGUGCUACUUUAAAACUUUUAUCUGGA